rnacentral:rRNA from 1 species
ACGAACGUUGGCGGCGUGCUUAAUACAUGCCAGUCAACUGAAGCAGUGGUAGCAAUAUCGCUGUGGAGGUGGCGCACGGGUGAGUAACACGUAGGUAAUCUGCCUUCAGGUCUGGCAUAACUCCGGGAAACCGGGGCUAAUAGCAGAUGAUGCAGCGGCUCGACAUCGAGACAGUUGUUAAAGCUAUGGCGCCUGAAGAUGAGCCUGCGUCUGAUUAGCUAGUUGGCGGGGUAACGGCCCACCAAGGCAACGAUCAGUAGCUGGUCUGAGAGGAUGAUCAGCCACACUGGAACUGAGACACGGUCCAGACUCCUACGGGAGGCAGCAGUAAGGAAUAUUGCUCAAUGGGAGAAAUCCUGAAGCAGCAACGCCGCGUGAGGGACGAAGGGCUUUUGCUUGUAAACCUCUGUAGUGAGAGAAAAAAAUCCCAAUCUUUGGGACAUGAUGGUAUCUCAAAAGUAAGCCCCGGCUAACUACGU